UACGUAGGGGGCAAGCGCUGUCCGGAAUCAUUGGGCGUAAAGAGCGUGUAGGCGGCUUGGUAAGUCCGCUGUAAAAGUCCAGGGCUCAACCCUGGAAAGCCGGUGGAAACUGUCAAGCUUGAGUCCGGAAGAGGCGAGUGGAAUUCCUGGUGUAGCGGUGAAAUGCGCAGAUAUCAGGAGGAACACCAAUGGCGAAGGCAGCUCGCUGGGACGGUACUGACGCUGAGACGCGAAAGCGUGGGGAGCAAACAGG
rnacentral:rRNA from 1 species